AACGAACGCUGGCGGCGUGCUUAACACAUGCAAGUCGAACGCGAAAGGGACUUCGGUCCUGAGUAAAGUGGCGCACGGGUGAGUAACGCGUGGAUAAUCUACCCAAUGAUCUGGGAUAACAUCUCGAAAGGGGUGCUAAUACCGGAUAAGACCACGAGAUCUUAGGAUUUUGCGGUAAAAGGUGGGGACCUUCGGGCCUACCGCAAUUGGAUGAGUCCGCGUACCAUUAGCUAGUUGGUAGGGUAAAGGCCUACCAAGGCAACGAUGGUUAGCUGGUCUGAGAGGAUGAUCAGCCACACUGGAACUGAGACACGGUCCAGACUCCUACGGGAGGCAG
rnacentral:rRNA from 1 species